rnacentral:miRNA from 1 species
CGGCCAACAGCGUUUCGGGGC